GAUGAACGCUAGCGGCAGGCCUAACACAUGCAAGUCGAGGGGCAGCACGUCUUCGGAUGGUGGCGACCGGCGCACGGGUGCGUAACGCGUAUGCAACCUACCUCUUACAGUGGGAUAGCCCAGAGAAAUUUGGAUUAAUACCGCAUAGUAUACAGAUUCAGCAUUGGGACUGUAUUAAACAUUUAUGGGUAAGAGAUGGGCAUGCGUUCUAUUAGUUAGUUGGAGUGGUAACGGCACCCCAAGACAGCGAUAGAUAGGGGCCCUGAGAGGGGGAUCCCCCANACUGGUACUGAGACACGGACCAGACUCCUACGGGAGGCAGCAGUGAGGAAUAUUGCGCAAUGGGCGAAAGCCUGACGCAGCCAGCCGCGUGAGCGAUGAAGGCCCUUGGGUCGUAAAGCGUCUGUGGGGGAGAAGAAAAAGACCGGUAGAAGAGCGGCCCUGACGGUAUCCCCUUAGCAAGCACCGGCUUAACUCCGUGCCAGCAGCCGACGG
rnacentral:rRNA from 1 species